UACGUAGGGGGCUAGCGUUGUCCGGAAUCAUUGGGCGUAAAGAGCGCGUAGGCGGCCAGAUAAGUCCGGUGUGAAAGUCACAGGCUCAACCUGUGAAUGCCGCUGGAAACUGUCUGGCUAGAGUCCGGGAGGGGCGAGUGGAAUUCCGUGGUGUAGCGGUGAAAUGCGCAGAUAUCAGGAGGAACACCAAUGGCGAAGGCAGCUCGCUGGAACGGUACUGACGCUGAGGCGCGAAAGCGUGGGGAGCAAACGGG
rnacentral:rRNA from 1 species